UCGAUCACACCAGCACUAAUGCACCGGAUCCCAUUAGAACUCCGAAGUUAUGCUUGUUUGGGCGUGGGCAGUACUAGGAUGGGUGACCCCCUGGGAAGUCCUCGUGUUGCUCCU
rnacentral:rRNA from 1 species